rnacentral:rRNA from 1 species
GAUACCCCCAGGUCAGGCGGGGCUACCCGCUGAGUUUAAG